CCUACGGGAGUCAGCAGUGAGGAAUAUUGGGCAAUGGGCGCAAGCCUGACCCAGCAACGCCGCGUGAAGGAUGACGGCUCUCGGGUUUUAAACUUCUUUUAACAGGGGAGCGAAGAAGACGGUACCUCUUGACUCAGCACCGGCUAACUCCGUCCCAGCAGCCGCGGUAAUACGUAGGUGGCAAGCGUUGUCCGGGUUUACUGGGUGUAAAGGGCGUGCAGCCGGGAAGAGAAGUCAUAUGUGAAAUCCCGCGGCUCAACCGCGGAACUGCAGUGGAAACUGUUUUUCUUGAGUAGCGGAGAGGUCAUCGGAAUGCCUUGUGUAGCGGUGAAAUGCGUAGAUAGAAGGAAGAACACC
rnacentral:rRNA from 1 species